rnacentral:rRNA from 1 species
AUUGAACGCUGGCGGAAUACUUUACACAUGCAAGUCGAACGGCAGCACGGGGGCAACCCUGGUGGCGAGUGGCGAACGGGUGAGUAAUAUAUCGGAACGUGCCCAGUCGGGGGGGAUAACGUAGCGAAAGUUACGCUAAUACCGCAUACGAUCUACGGAUGAAAGCGGGGGAUCGCAAGACCUCGCGCGAUUGGAGCGGCCGAUAUCAGAUUAGGUAGCUGGAGGGGUAAAGGCUCACCAAGCCAACGAUCUGUAGCUGGUCUGAGCGGACGACCAGCCACAGUGGGACUGUGACACGCCCCAGACUCCAACGGGAGGAAGCAGUGGGGAAUUAUGGACACUGGGCGCAAGCCUGAUCCAGCCAUUCCGCGUGCAGGACGAAGGUUUUCGGGUGGUAAACUGCUUUUGUACGGAACGAAAAAGCCUUGGCUAAUACCCAGGGUCCAUGACGGUACCGUAAGAAUAAGCACCGGCUAACUACGUGCCAGCCGCCGCCGUAA